rfam:Arcobacter nitrofigilis DSM 7299, complete genome.
GUUGGUGAUUAUAGAGAAGUGGAAAUACCCGGCUCCAUUCCGAACCCGGAAGUCAAGCACUUCAUCGCUGAUAAUACUGCAGGGUCCCCUUGUGGAAACGUAAGUCGUCGCCAACU